rnacentral:rRNA from 1 species
AACGAACGCUGGCGGCAUGCCUAACACAUGCAAGUCGAACGAUUGCCUUCGGGUGAUAGUGGCGCACGGGUGCGUAACGCGUGGGAAUCUGCCCUUAGGUUCGGAAUAACAGCUGGAAACGGCUGCUAAUACCGGAUGAUAUCGCGAGAUCAAAGAUUUAUCGCCUGAGGAUGAGCCCGCGUUGGAUUAGGUAGUUGGUGGGGUAAAGGCCUACCAAGCCGACGAUCCAUAGCUGGUCUGAGAGGAUGAUCAGCCACACUGGGACUGAGACACGGCCCAGACUCCUACGGGAGGCAGCUGUGGGGAAUAUUGGACAAUGGGCGCAAGCCUGAUCCAGCAAUGCCGCGUGAGUGAUGAAGGCCCUAGGGUUGUAAAGCUCUUUUACCCGGGAAGAUAAUGACUGUACCGGGAGAAUAAGCCCCGGCUAACUCCGUG